GAUGAACGCUAGCGGCAGGCCUAAUACAUGCAAGUCAAGGGGAUAGCAAUAUCACCGGCGGACGGGUGCGUAACGCGUACACAACGUGCCCAAGGGCGGAGGAAAGCGGCGGGAAACUGCCGGUAAUACUCCAUGGUGUUGUUGAGUGGCAUCACUUAACAACUAAAGUACAAGCGCCCUUGGAUCGGUGUGCGUUCGAUUAGCUAGUUGGCGGGUAACGCCCACCAAGGCUUCGAUCGAUAGGGGGUNUGAGAGCAUGACCCCCCACACGGUACUNAGACACGGACCCGACUCUACGGGAGGCAGCAGUAAGGAAUAUUGGACAAUGGGCGGGAAGCCU
rnacentral:rRNA from 1 species